rnacentral:tRNA from 5 species
UUAAAAUCCGUCGACUUUAUAAGUCGUGAGGGUUCAAGUCCCUCUAUCCCCA